UAAAUUGUGACUAGGUGUGAAAUCCUCA
rnacentral:piRNA from 1 species